GACGAACGCUGGCGGCGUGCCUAGUACAUGCAAGUAGAACGCUGAGGGAGGAGCUUGCUUCUCUGGAUGAGUUGCGAACGGGUGAGUAACGCGUAGGUAACCUGCCUGGUAGCGGGGGAUAACUAUUGGAAACGAUAGCUAAUACCGCAUAAGAGUAGAUGUUGCAUGACAUUUACUUAAAAGGUGCAAUUGCAUCACUACCAGAUGGACCUGCGUUGUAUUAGCUAGUUGGUGAGGUAACGGCUCACCAAGGCAACGAUACAUAGCCGACCUGAGAGGGUGAUCGGCCACACUGGGACUGAGACACGGCCCAGACUCCUACGGGAGGCAGCAGUAGGGAAUCUUCGGCAAUGGACGGAAGUCUGACCGAGCAACGCCGCGUGAGUGAAGAAGGUUUUCGGAUCGUAAAGCUCUGUUGUAAGAGAAGAACGAGUGUGAGAGUGGAAAGUUCACACUGUGACGGUAUCUUACCAGAAAGGGACGGCUAACUACGUG
rnacentral:rRNA from 1 species